rnacentral:rRNA from 1 species
GACGAACGCUGGCGGCGUGCUUAACACAUGCAAGUCGAACGGAAAGGCCCUGCUUUUGUGGGGUGCUCGAGUGGCGAACGGGUGAGUAACACGUGAGUAACCUGCCCUUGACUUUGGGAUAACUUCAGGAAACUGGGGCUAAUACCGGAUAGGAGCUCCUGCUGCAUGGUGGGGGUUGGAAAGUUUCGGCGGUUGGGGAUGGACUCGCGGCUUAUCAGCUUGUUGGUGGGGUAGUGGCUUACCAAGGCUUUGACGGGUAGCCGGCCUGAGAGGGUGACCGGCCACAUUGGGACUGAGAUACGGCCCAGACUCCUACGGGAGGCAGCAGUGGGGAAUAUUGCACAAUGGGCGGAAGCCUGAUGCAGCAACGCCGCGUGCGGGAUGACGGCCUUCGGGUUGUAAACCGCUUUCGCCUGUGACGAAGCGUGAGUGACGGUAAUGGGUACAGAAGCACCGGCUAACUACGUGCCAGCAGCCGCGGUGAUACGUAGGGUGCGAGCGUUGUCCGGAUUUAUUGGGCGUAAAGGGCUCGUAGGUGGUUGAUCGCGUCGGAAGUGUAAUCUUGGGGCUUAACCCUGAGCGUGCUUUCGAUACGGGUUGACUUGAGGAAGGUAGGGGAGAAUGGAAUUCCUGGUGGAGCGGUGGAAUGCGCAGAUAUCAGGAGGAACACCAGUGGCGAAGGCGGUUCUCUGGGCCUUUCCUGACGCUGAGGAGCGAAAGCGUGGGGAGCGAACAGGCUUAGAUACCCUGGUAGUCCACGCUGUAAACGGUGGGUACUAGGUGUGGGGUCCAUUCCACGGGUUCCGUGCCGUAGCUAACGCUUUAAGUACCCCGCCUGGGGAGUACGGCCGCAAGGCUAAAACUCAAAGGAAUUGACGGGGCCCCGCACAAGCGGCGGAGCAUGCGGAUUAAUUCGAUGCAACGCGUAGAACCUUACCUGGGUUUGACAUGGAUCGGGAGCGCUCAGAGAUGGGUGUGCCUCUUUUGGGGUCGGUUCACAGGUGGUGCAUGGCUGUCGUCAGCUCGUGUCGUGAGAUGUUGGGUUAAGUCCCGCAACGAGCGCAACCCUUGUUCACUGUUGCCAGCACGUUAUGGUGGGGACUCAGUGGAGACCGCCGGGGUCAACUCGGAGGAAGGUGGGGAUGACGUCAAGUCAUCAUGCCCCUUAUGUCCAGGGCUUCACGCAUGCUACAAUGGCUGGUACAGAGAGUGGCGAGCCUGUGAGGGUGAGCGAAUCUCGGAAAGCCGGUCUCAGUUCGGAUUGGGGUCUGCAACUCGACCUCAUGAAGUCGGAGUCGCUAGUAAUCGCAGAUCAGCAACGCUGCGGUGAAUACGUUCCCGGG